AUUGAACGCUGGCGGCAGGCCUAACACAUGCGAGUCGAGCGGAUGAAGGGAGCUUGCUCCUGGAUUCAGCGGCGGACGGGUGAGUAAUGCCUAGGAAUCUGCCUGGUAGUGGGGGAUAACGUCCGGAAACGGGCGCUAAUACCGCAUACGUCCUGAGGGAGAAAGUGGGGGAUCUUCGGACCUCACGCUAUCAGAUGAGCCUAGGUCGGAUUAGCUAGUUGGUGGGGUAAAGGCCUACCAAGGCGACGAUCCGUAACUGGUCUGAGAGGGUGAUCAGUCACACUGGAACUGAGACACGGUCCAGACUCCUACGGGAGGCAGCAGUGGGGAAUAUUGGACAAUGGGCGAAAGCCUGAUCCAGCCAUGCCGAGUGUGUGAAGAAGGUCUUCGGAUUGUAAAGCACUUUAAGUUGGGAGGAAGGGCAGUAAGUUAAUACCUUGCUGUUUUGACGUUACCAACAGAAUAAGCACCGGCUAACUUCGUG
rnacentral:rRNA from 1 species